AUUGAACGCUGGCGGCAGGCCUAACACAUGCAAGUCGAGCGAGCGGCGGACGGGUGAGUAAUGUCUGGGAAACUGCCUGAUGGAGGGGGAUAACUACUGGAAAAGGUAGCUAAUACCGCAUACCAUCAGAUGUGCCCAGAUGGGAUUAGCUAGUAGGUGGGGUAACGGCGCACCUAGGCGACGAUCCCUAGCUGUUCUGAGAGGGUGACCAGCCACACUUGAACGUAUACACGUUCCAGACUCCUACGGCAGGCAGCAGUGGGGAAUAUUGCGCAAUUGGCGCAAGCCUGAUGCAGCCAUGCCGCGUGUGGGAAGAAGUCCUUCGUGUUGUAAAGCACUUUCAGCGGGUAGGCGUUACCCGCAGAAGAAGCACCGGCGAACUCCGUGCCAGCAGCCGCGGUAAUAC
rnacentral:rRNA from 1 species